rnacentral:sRNA from 1 species
AAUUAUAAUCUAAUACAUUUCUUACAUUUCUAAACUCAAGCAAGAGACGAGUUACGUAUUCCCAAAGAAGAGAGAGAUGAAGCAAUGAAUGAGAUACGUAUUCCUAAAGCAGAGACAGAAUAGAGUACCUACCUGCAUGGGUUUUCAGAACAAGACUGUUUGAGGUCACUAACAAAGGCCGCGGUAUACACAUUUGAGACCAAAAGAAAAUCCGCUGCAGAGGUCAGACGCAGGCGACAAAAAGAAAAUCUUAACC